rnacentral:rRNA from 1 species
UGGGGAAUAUUGCGCAAUGGGGGAAACCCUGACGCAGCGACGCCGUGUGAGGGAAGAAGGCCUUCGGGUCGUAAACCUCUGUCAGAAGGGAAGAACCGCCGCGGGGUGAAUAAAACCUCGGCCUGACGGUACCUUCAGAGGAAGCGCCGGCUAACUCCGUGCCAGCAGCCGCGGUAAUACGGAGGGCGCAAGCGUUAAUCGGAAUUACUGGGCGUAAAGCGUGCGUAGGCUGUUUGGUAAGUCAGGCGUGAAAGCCCUCGGCUCAACCGGGGAACUGCGCUU